rnacentral:rRNA from 1 species
UAGGGAAUAUUGCGCAAUGGGCGAAAGCCUGACGCAGCGACGCCGCGUGAGUGAUGAAGGCCUUCGGGUCGUAAAGCUCUGUCGCAGGGGAAUAACACAAUGAAUGUACCCUGAAAGAAAGGAUCGGCUAACUUCGUGCCAGCAGCCGCGGUAAGACGAGGGAUCCAAGCGUUGUUCGGAAUCAUUGGGCGUAAAGCGGGUGUAGGUGGCUUUGUAAGUCGGGUGUGAAAGCCCAGGGCUCAACCCUGGAAGUGCAUUCGAUACUGCGAAGCUUGAGUGUAGGAGAGGUUACUAGAAUUCUUGGUGUAGUGGUGAAAUACGUAGAUAUCAAGAGGAAUACCGGAGGCGAAGGCGGGUAACUGGCCUAACACUGACACUCAGACCCGAAAGCGUGGGGAUCAAACAGG